GAUGAACGCUGGCGGCGUGCCUAAUACAUGCAAGUCGAGCGAAUUGACAGAGGUGCUUGCACCUCUCGAUUUUAGCGGCGGACGGGUGAGUAACACGUGGGUAACCUACCUAUAAGACUGGGAUAACUUCGGGAAACCGGAGCUAAUACCGGAUAAUAUUUAGCUUCGCAUGAAGCAAUAGUGAAAGACGGUUCUGCUGUCACUUAUAGAUGGACCUGCGGUGUAUUAGCUAGUUGGUGAGGUAACGGCUCACCAAGGCAACGAUACAUAGCCGACCUGGGAGGGUGAUCGGCCACACUGGGGCUGAGACACGGCCCAGACUCCUACGGGAGGCAGCAGUAGGGAAUCUUCCGCAAUGGACGAAAGUCUGACGGAGCAACGCCGCGUGAGUGAAGAAGGUUUUCGGAUCGUAAAACUCUGUUGUAAGGGAAGAACAAGUACGUUAGUAACUGAACGUACCUUGACGGUACCUUACCAGAAAGCCACGGCUAACUACGUGCCAGCAGCCGCAGUAAAAC
rnacentral:rRNA from 1 species